rnacentral:rRNA from 1 species
GCCUUAGUAACGGCGAGUGAGCGGCAAAAGCUCAGAUUUGAAAUCUGGCGUCAUUUUGGCGUCCGAGUUGUAGUUUGUAGAGGAGCAUUCCAGUGUAGCGCUGGCUUAAGUUCCUUGGAACAGGGCGUCAUAGAGGGUGAGAACCCCGUUAACGGCCUUUGUCUUAUGCUCAUGUGAAUCUCCUUCAACGAGUCGAGUUGUUUGGGAAUGCAGCUCUAAAUGGGUGGUAAAUUCCAUCUAAAGCUAAAUACUGGCAAGAGACCGAUAGCGCACAAGUAGAGUGAUCGAAAGAUGAAAAGAACUCUGAACAGAGAGUUAAAUAGUACGUGAAAUUGUUGAAAGGGAAGCACUUGCGACCAGACACACUUGCAGUUGAUCAACCUCCAUUUUUGGUGGUGCACUCGGUUGUAGGUGGGUCAGCAUCAGUUACAGCGGUGGGAAAAAGACCGAGGGAAUGUGGCUCCCUUCGGGGAGUGUUAUAGCCCUUGGUGUAAUGCUGCCAGCUGUGACUGAGGACCGCGCUUUUGUGAGGAUGCUGACAUAAUGGUCGUAAGUGACCCGUCUUGAAACACGGACCAAGGAGUCUAACAUCUAUGCGAGUGUUUGGGUGUAAAACCCUUACGCGUAAUGAAAGUAAAUGGAGGUGGGAACCGCAAGGUGCACCAUCGACCGAUCCUGAUGUUUUCGGAUGGAUUUGAGUAGGAGCAUAGCUGUUGGGACCCGAAAGAUGGUGAACUAUGCCUGAAUAGGGUGAAGCCAGAGGAAACUCUGGUGGAGGCUCGCAGCGGUUCUGACGUGCAAAUCGAUCGUCAAAUUUGGGUAUAGGGGCGAAAGACUAAUCGAACCAUCUAGUAGCUGGUUCCGGCCGAAG